UACGGGGGGGGCAAGCGUUGUUCGGAAUUACUGGGCGUAAAGGGCUCGUAGGUGGCCAACUAAGUCGGACGUGAAAUCCCUCGGCUUAACCGGGGAACUGCGUCCGAUACUGGAUGGCUUGAGUGUGGGAGAGGGAUGCGGAAUUCCAGGUGUAGCGGUGAAAUGCGUAGAUAUCAAGAGGAACACCUGAGGUGAAGACGGGUUGCUGGGCUGACACUGACGCUGAGGCGCGAAAGCCAGGGGAGCAAACGGG
rnacentral:rRNA from 1 species